GAUGAAGAACGUAGCGAAAUGCGAUAAGUAAUGUGAAUUGCAGAAUUCAGUGAAUCAUCGAAUCUUUGAACGCACAAUGCGCCCGCCAGUAUUCUGGCGGGCAUGCCUGUUCGAGCGUCAUUUCAACCAUCAAGCCCCCCGGCUUGUGUUGGGGACCUGCGGCUGCCGCAGGCCCUGAAAAGCAGUGGCGGGCUCGCUGUCACACCGAGCGUAGUAGAUCUCAUCUCGCUCAGGGCGUGCUGCGGGUUCCGGCCGUUAAACCACCUUCAUAACCCAAGGUUGACCUCGGAUCAGGUAGGAAGACCCGCUGAACUUAAGCAUAUCAAUAAGCGGAGGA
rnacentral:misc_RNA from 1 species